CUCUAUCACUGCUAAUUAUAUACCCUCACAGGGUAAAAGUUUCAGAGAGUAUAUUUGAUGAAAGGAAAAAACAUAAUGAGAGUCGUGGCGUUACCUAUUAAUAAUCAGUAUCUGCAGCUUCAGAGUGAUAUGGUCAGGACAAAUUAACAUUUAUGUGGAUAGCUUGGCCACCGCUUUUUUUAAUCUUAUGCUAAGCCGCGUUCCCGUGGAGUGGUCAGUGGAAACAAGAUAAUACAGGAAACAGAAAAAAGAUAAUGCCCAAGUAGCGGUGAAAAGCAUAUAAUACUGGAGGAACGCCAGUGGGAAACGAUACUUUGUCUUAAACAAAUUUGAGCGGAAAGCAGUGGGAGCAAACAGGAUAGAUACCCUGUAGUCAUGCCGUAAAGAUGAGUUUAAUGUAGUGGGUUUCCGCCCUUAGUGGUGCAGUAAGCAUUAAGCCUCCGCUGGGGAGUACGACCCAAGGUUGAAACUCAAAGGAAUUGACGGGGGCCGCACAAGCGGUGGAGCAUGUGGUUUAAUUGAAGCAACGCGAAGAACCUUACCAGGUCUUGACAUCCCAGUGACCACUCUAGAGAUAGAGUUUUCCCUUCGGGGACAUUGGUGACAGGUGGUGCAUGGUUGUCGUCAGCUCGUGUCGUGAGAUGUUGGGUUAAGUCCCGCAACGAGCGCAACCCUUGAUUUAGUUGCCAUCAUUAGUUGGGCACUCUAAGGUGACUGCCGGUGACAAACCGGAGGAAGGUGGGGAUGACGUCAAAUCAUCAUGCCCCUUAUGACCUGGGCUACACACGUGCUCAAUGGACGGUACAAAGAGUCGCUAACUCGCGAGAGUACGCUAAUCUCAUAAAACCGUUCUCAGUUCGGAUUGUAGGCUGCAACUCGCCUACAUGAAGCCGGAAUCGCUAGUAAUCGCGGAUCAGCAUGCCGCGGUGAAUACGUUCCCGGGCCUUGUACACACCGCCCGUCACACCACGAGAGUUUGUAACACCCGAAGUCGGUGAGGUAACCUUUUGGGGCCAGCCGCCGAAGGAUGAU
rnacentral:rRNA from 1 species